GGCGGCCGGGGAGCGCUGGAGCGGGGAGGCUGAGGCGGGCGGGCGGGCGGCCCCGGGAGGUUGUCUGUAAAUGUUCAAAGAAGGAGCUGAGGCCAGGAAAGUGAGAGUUGCCCUGAGAGACUUCUCUACGUAAUUCAGGUGCGCCAAAGGAGCAGCGAUCUUCUCCUUAUGGGCUGAAACUUUUAAUCUAAGCUGACCGCAUCUGAAGCGCGGGGCAGGAAGGUCUCACACGAAUUACUGCACUGACUGGUGAAGAUGGUAGCAGGCGAUAGGAAAGUGGAGGUGGUGACGUGCUGAAAGUGGUAUUACCUUCUGAUGUGGAUGGGCUGGGAGGAGAGCAGUGUUCGUGGUCUCGCCCAGCUAGCUAGAGAACAGGAUUAGUUUGCCUUCGGUCGGUGCCCACCUGUGUGUGUUAUUGGGCUGGUGCUGCAUUCGUUACUCCUCGUGCUCAUCCCUCUUCUCUAGGUGGGGAGAAAAGGGCAAAAUGUAACUGAAAACAUUUCCUAAUAAAUAUUUCAUUUUCAC